GAUGAACGCUGGCGGCGUGCCUAAUACAUGCAAGUCGAACGAGGUGCUUUUGUAGCAAUACGAGAGUAUCCUAGUGGCGAACGGGUGAGUAACGCGUUGGUGACCUACCCCAAAGUGUGGGAUAACAGUCCGAAAGGAUUGCUAAUACCGCAUGUGGUCUUCGGAUUUAGAAACUGAUGACUAAAGGAGCAAUUCGCUUUGGGAGGGACCUGCGUCCCAUCAGCUAGUUGGUGAGGUAAUGGCUCACCAAGGCGACGACGGGUAGGGGACCUGAGAGGGUGACCCCCCACAAUGGAACUGAAACACGGUCCAUACACCUACGGGUGGCAGCAGUAGGGAAUAUUGCUCAAUGGGCGAAAGCCUGAAGCAGCAACGCCGCGUGUGCGAUGAAGGCCUUCGGGUCGUAAAGCACUUUUCUGGGAGAUGAGAAAGGACAGUAUCCCAGGAAUAAGUCUCGGCUAACUACGUGCCAGCCGCCGCCGUAAAAC
rnacentral:rRNA from 1 species